rnacentral:rRNA from 1 species
ACUGAUGGCGACCGGCGCACGGUGAGUAACACGUAUCCAACCUGCCUCAUACUCGGGGAUAGCCUUUCGAAAGAAAGAUUAAUAUCCGAUAGCAUAUAUUUCCCGCAUGGGUUUUAUAUUAAAGAAAUUCGGUAUGAGAUGGGGAUGCGUUCCAUUAGUUUGUUGGGGGGGUAACGGCCCACCAAGACUACGAUGGAUAGGGGUUCUGAGAGGAAGGUCCCCCACAUUGGAACUGAGACACGGUCCAA